rnacentral:tRNA from 1 species
GCCUGGCUGGCUCAGUUGGUAAAGCAUGCAACUCUUGAUCAUGGGGUUGUGAGUUCGAGCCCCACGCUGGGUG